rnacentral:rRNA from 1 species
GUGCGUAUAUUAAUGUUGUUGCAGUUAUACGCUCGUAGUCGGAUUUCGGGGCGGCUUCGUCGGUCUGCCGAUGGGUAUGCACUGACGCGGGCGUCCUUCCUUCCGGAGACGCGUCCUACUCUUAGCUGAGCGGGGCGUGGAGACGGAUCGUUUACUUUGAAAAAAUCAGAGUGUUUCAAGCAGGCAUCAUCGCUCUUGCAUGGAUUAGCAUGGGAUAAUGAAAUAGGACCUUGGUGCUAUUUUGUUGGUUUCGAGCACCGAAGUAAUGAUUAACAGGGACAGUCAGGGGCACUCGUAUUCCGCCGAGAGAGGUGAAAUUCUCAGACCAGCGGAAGACGAACCACUGCGAAAGCAUUUGCCAGGGAUGUUUUCACUGAUCAAGAACGAAAGUUAGGGGAUCGAAGACGAUCAGAUACCGUCGUAGUCUUAACCAUAAACCAUGCCGACUAGGGAUUGGAGGAUGUCCACUUUUGACUUCUUCAGCACCUUACGGGAAACUAAAGUCUUUGGGUUCCGGGGGGAGUAUGGUCGCAAGGCUGAAACUUAAAGGAAUUGACGGAAGGGCACCACCAGGAGUGGAGCCUGCGGCUUAAUUUGACUCAACACGGGGAAACUUACCAGGUCCAGACAUUGUGAGGAUUGACAGAUUGAGAGCUCUUUCUUGAUUCGAUGGGUGGUGGUGCAUGGCCGUUCUUAGUUGGUGGAGUGAUUUGUCUGGUUAAUUCCGUUAACGAACGAGACCUUAGCCUAUUAAAUAGUGUCGCGAACACUUGGUUCGCGUUCACUUCUU